rnacentral:rRNA from 1 species
CCUACGGGUGGCAGCAGUGGGGAAUAUUGCUCAAUGGGCGAAAGCCUGAUGCAGCAACGCCGCGUGAGCGAUGACGGCCUUAGGGUUGUAAAGCUCUGUUCUUAAGGAAGAUAAUGACGGGACUUGAGGAGGAAGCCCCGGCUAACUACGUGCCGGCAGCCGCGGUACGAUGUAGGGGGCUGGCGUUAUCCGGACUUACUGGGCGUAAAGGGUGCGUAGGUGGUUUCUUAAGUCAUCGGUGAAAGGCUACGGCUCAACCGUAGUAAGCCUUUGAAACUGGGAAACUUGAGUUCAGGAGAGGAGAGUGGAAUUCCUAGUGUAGCGGUGAAAUGCGUAGAUAUUAGGAGGAACACCAGUUGCGAAGGCGGCUCACUGGACUGUAACUGACACUGAGGCACGAAGGCGUGGGGAGCAAACAGGAUUAGAUACCCCUGUAGUC